UACAGAGGUCUCAAGCGUUGUUCGGAUUCAUUGGGCGUAAAGGGCGCGUAGGCGGCGCGGGAAGUCCGUGGUGAAAGCCCGAGGCUCAACUUCGGGUCGGCCAUGGAUACUCCUGGGCUUGAGCACUGUAGAGGCAGGUGGAAUUCCGGGUGUAGCGGUGGAAUGCGUAGAGAUCCGGAAGAACACCGGUGGCGAAGGCGGCCUGCUGGGCAGUAGCUGACGCUGAGGCGCGACAGCGUGGGGAGCAAACAGG
rnacentral:rRNA from 1 species